AUGGGCAAUCCUUGUUCAAUCCUGCAGGGCAGCAGGCCUGAUACUGAGCAGUGGGGAUGUAGUUCUUCUUCCAAGCGCAGCAGGGCUGAUACUGGGCCAAGGGGUUGUGGGUUUUUUUCUACCAAUGGGAGCUUUCCCUUAACCGCCCCCAUGGGGGUGGUCCACAGGGUUCAUAACUACCCCUCUUACUACGGGGCGUUUACCUAG
rnacentral:rRNA from 1 species